UCGAGAAUUUUUCACAAUGGACGAAAGUCUGAUGGAGCGACGCCGCGUGGAGGAUGAAGGUUCUUGGAUUGUAAACUCCUGUCACUGCAGAACAAGGCUGCGCGAUUGAACAUUUCGCGCAGUUGAUGGUAUGCGGAGAGGAAGGGACGGCUAACUCUGUGCCAGCAGCCGCGGUAAGACAGAGGUCCCGAGCGUUGUUCGGAUUCAUUGGGCGUAAAGGGUGUGUAGGAGGCUAGGUAAGUCAGGUGUGAAAUCUCACAGCUUAACUGUGAAACUGCGCUUGAUACUGCUUAGCUAGAGGAUCGGAGGGGGUAACGGAAUUUAUGGUGUAGCAGUGAAAUGCGUAGAUAUCAUAAGGAACACCGGUGGCGAAGGCGGUUACCUGGAAGAUUCCUGACUCUGAAACACGAAAGCCAGGGGAGCAAACGGGAUUAGAUACCCCCGUAGUCC
rnacentral:rRNA from 1 species